rnacentral:rRNA from 1 species
GAAACCGAUAGGGUGGAAGCAGAUGAAGUUGACGAACGAGUGUUGUACUCAGAAUUACAUCUUGUGUGUAGUUUGUUCUUGCAACCGAUGUGGGCUGGCGUGCUUGGUCAAUGCAUUGUGUCAAGCGUCGAUGGUGACCCUGCGGAGGGAUAUUCAUUCGGCGUAAGGUGCGUGGUAUGGCUAAGUAGUCGCCGGUCUUGAAGUCAGCGCCUCAUCUGACCCGUCUUGAAACACGGACCAAGGAGUGUAGCGUUUACGCAAGUCUUAGAGUGUAUCGAAACUUUGAGGCGUAACGAAAGUAAAGGCAAUUUAAUUUGCUGA